CCGUAAGGUAAAUGUCCCCAUGGCCGACCAUGUUCCCUCUACCGACUUUUUUGACGUGAAACGUUGUUUACGAGGCUGCUGAUUCAACAACACGUUCAUUAGUGCAGUGGAAAAAUUCAGGAAUUCGUGCAGUACAAAAUAAUUAUAACGUGCAGAGUCAGACACAGCAAAACGCCUGCAUGUCCCCAGUACCAUACACGUAAACGUCAGUAUCAUCGAAGCUGCGGAAGCCGACGGCUGCGGUGAGGUUAUCCGCUUAGAGGCAGUACUAUGUGGGAUCUCGGUAGUCGCGGCGCCGUGGUGUUGAGUGUGACGUGUGGGUGCGUGCUGAUAUACAACGCCUGCUCGUCAACGACAGUCUGCUGUCGCCGCACGCGUAUCACGUUCUCGGUUACCUGCGGGAGGCGAUUCACGAGCUCGGCGCGGCCCUCCGUGUCGUCCACGUCCACGGUACCGGUUACGUGCGUAAGCUCUGGCACAGUGCGAGCCGUUGUUACCGCGAGCGUUUCCCUUCGUUCAGGAUGGACAGGCGACGCGCGAGCAAUUAUCAGCUCAGCAGCGACUCGUACGCUGCCAAGCGCGGAGAGUCGCCGUCGUUACCGUCAUCGCCAUCGUCGUCGUCGUCGUCGUCCAGGUAAUCGGUAAUGGGGACAUGCCCGGUCAAAAUUGGACACAGCUGGUCGGUAGAGAGGGCACGCACUAGUGCGCCUUUAUUCUUCUCUAUCUAGAAAAAUACUUGACGGAAUGGAUUGAGCCUACGAUUUUUGGAAAGUGCAUGGAUGAAGCUAUCCACCAGUAUGAAACUCUUUAUCGAAUUUAUUUUUGUCACGCUUGACAACGCCAUUCUUUUGUUGGGUCGGCCUUAUAGGUGUCGGCCAUAGGGACAUUUACCUUAAUCC